GCCUGGGGCUAUAUACAAGUCUGAAGUAGGGGAAGCCAGAGUGGAAACUCUUCCUUCCUGGCUGCAGAGAUUGAAAUCCCUAAGGCUGAAACCCCCAAACUCACAGGAUUGAUGGCUGCCGCUCCCCUGUCAACGCUGCAAGAGGCGGAAGCGGAGUCGAAGUUCUGGAGUCGACGGGGAGCACAUUUGGGGAUUGAUUUAUCACAUCUAGACAAGCCGCGAUAAAUCGAUUCCUGAUAGAUUGAUCACUACCCGCUGAUCUGGUGGGUAGUGUAGACAUACUCUUAGAAGAAUCUUCUGAAAGAGGUUACUCCUCAGACAACACUCACUUGGAUGCCCAGGUGUCUGAUGCGGUCAACAGUAAAGGAGAUCCUGAGUAUCCCAAUGGUAGUGAUAGAUAGGUGGGAAACCUCUAGCCACCCCUUUUCUGGAGUCAUUUUACUUAUAAAGGAAAUUUAAUUUUGGUGGUGCAUCCACCACCAAUUUAGAAAAAUACCAUAUAGGAGAUUGAGAUUAAAAUGUCUCAACCACUUUAAAUCAAUGAGAGGCUUCAGUAAAUCAAUUAAUGCAGUUUACAGUAACAAAUAAAAUUAAAUUUGUGUUUACACUGGCCCCAUUUACCCCACCCCUGAGCAUGCACUCCUCUGAAUUUGAGUUCUAGAUGCUUGCUUGGGUGUGCCUGAAGAUCUUGAAGCUGAGGCAGCACUCUGUUGGUCCAGUAAAGCAGACCAGCCAAGGCAGAGCAAUUCUAAUGUGGGAGUUAUGUAGCUUGGAACAAUCCCAUCUUCAGAGGGAUUAAAACCAGAGGUCAGGAACCCUGGAUCCUGCUUGGAUGAGACCACCACUGCUUCCUUUCUCAGACUCUGGGGAAACCCCUUUGGAAACUGCUGCUUAAACUGUGGGUUGCAAUCGUAACUGGGGUUGCUCCAUCAGCAAAUGGGAUCACAGCAAUUCUGAAUGUGCAGAGGAUCCCAUUAUAUAAAGCAAAAUUCCAUCCUCCACGUGACAUGAACUUGCACAUAUGAUGCAUGUGAGGUCACACUGCAUGGAGAAUAGCAACCUCUCUACUGUUUGGGGUUGCCAGAGGCAAUUCAUGUUAAAAUGGGGUCAUGCAGGGAAAAUGUUUGGGAUCUUCUGCCCUAAAGUCUCUUUGAUAUCCCCAUUUCCCAAACAACAAAGGUGGUGGUUACACUGCCCGCACUGCAGGCCAACUUCAGUCAGUUCUGGACACAAGAAGUGUCUCUACCCUGGCUCCAGUGAAAGCCAGCAAUAGUCUCCAUAGCUCCCUGCUUGGUCAAAGCCCCAGCAGUUUCUCAGCAGCAACUUCUGCCUUGGACAGAGCCCACAAGGAAAUCUUCCAUUUUCUGACCAGGAUUUCAGCUCCUCACAAAAUGGACCCCUCCACCUUGGUGGCUGCAGCCAAAAAAUGAGGCUCCCUGUACCCUGGAAUUGGAAGGCUCUCUUCUCAAAGGCAUCCUGGGACUUGUGGUCUCCAAGGCUGAUCUGAUCCAAGAGGCAACU